CCACAUGAUGAUAGAACUCAAUUGUUUACUUUUUCUGGUACCUCUUAUGUUAGAGUCUUUGGACUCGAUGAAUUUACUGGACUUCUGAUU
rnacentral:snoRNA from 1 species